CCAACAAUCAUCAUUGCCCACGAGUUUUAUGACGCUUUACCUAUUCAUCAGUUUCAGAGGGCUUCUCGUGGUUGGUGUGAGAAAAUGGUUGACAUAGAAGAAGAUUCAGCGUUUCGCUUUGUUCUCUCGCCUGCGCCUACACCUGCAACUGUUUUUCUUGCAAAGCGCUGCAAGUGGGCUGUGAAAGAGGAAGUAGACAAGCUUAAUCAAAUUGAGAUUUGCCCACAG